rnacentral:rRNA from 1 species
UCCGUAGGUGAACCUGCGGAAGGAUCAUUACUAGAGCAAAGGACAGACAGCACCCCAUAGGAGCUUGCUCCGUGGCGGGCUACCCUACUUCGGUAAGGUUUAGAGUCGUCGAACCUCUCAGAGAAGUUCGGUCCUGAACUCCACCCUUGAAUAAAUUACCUUUGUUGCUUUGGCAGGCCGCCUUGUGCCAGCGGCUUCGGCUGUUGAGUGCCUGCCAGAGGACCACAACUCUUGUUUUUAGUGAUGUCUGAGUACUAUAUAAUAGUUAAAACUUUCAACAACGGAUCUCUUGGUUCUGGCAUCGAUGAAGAACGCAGCGAAAUGCGAUAAGUAAUGUGAAUUGCAGAAUUCAGUGAAUCAUCGAAUCUUUGAACGCACAUUGCGCCCUCUGGUAUUCCGGGGGGCAUGCCUGUUCGAGCGUCAUUAUAACCACUCAAGCUCUCGCUUGGUAUUGGGGUUCGCGGUCUCGCGGCUCCUAAAAUCAGUGGCGGUGCCUGUCGGCUCUACGCGUAGUAAUACUCCUCGCGAUUGAGUCCGGUAGGUUUACUUGCCAGCAACCCCCAAUUUUUUUUACAGGUUGACCUCGGAUCAGGUAGGGAUACCCGCUGAACUUAAGCAUAUCAAUAAGCGGAGGA